AGAAUCAAACAGCGGUUAAACUACAAAGGCAAACGGAUUUUUGGAUGCUGCAUUUUUGUGACAUUUCUGUGAAUCCAAUUUAACUAGCAAAUAAACGUUUAAGUAUAAAUAACAUGGCCAAAAGCAGGAUUGUUUGCAAAUAAUAUCCAAUGUCAAUAUUACCGCAGCGUCGAGUAUAUUGCAUUUAAAUUCUUUACAUGCCAAGAAGAGUUUCAUUUCUUACUAAACAAGAACGAAGGAGCAACUUUACUAUCAAAUUCGAGUGCAGUGUUAUG